rnacentral:rRNA from 1 species
UACGGAGGGUGGCGAAGCGUUAUCCGGAUUCACUGGGGUUUAAAGGGUGCGUAGGCGGGUUGGUAAGUCCGUGGUGAAAUCUCCAAGCUUAACUUGGAAACUGCCGUGGAUACUAUCAAUCUUGAAUAUCGUGGAGGUAAGCGGAAUAUGUCAUGUAGCGGUGAAAUGCUUAGAUAUGACAUAGAACACCAAUUGCGUAGGCAGCUUACUACACGAUCAUUGACGCUGAGGCACGAAAGCGUGGGGAGCAAACAGG